GUCAGUCCUCAUCUGCAGUGAUGACAGUAGUAGGUGGAACAUGCCUGUCCUUGGGCAACAGGGCAGUGCACGUGCCAGCACCAAGUGGUUCCAGGGAGCGUUCCACUUGGCUGGGAGCAGAUAAUGUGUGCAUCCCGAGAGCAGACAGAACCAAGAGCAGGCAAACUUAGAAGACACUCAGCUAAGCACUUGCUGACUUCUUACAGGUUCACCGAUCAGGUAGGUCACUGUCUUAGAAAGGGAGAGUGAUGGAGCUGGGGAUGCUGGACAUACUGAGGCAGGAUAAGUAAGACUAAGAGGUCAUAUUGACUUUUCUCCUUGUGUGAAGCCCAGAAGGCUCUGCAUCCCUUGUAUCCUUGUGUGUCAGCACCUAAUUCUUUUGCAAGAUAAGCAGUCCUA
rnacentral:lncRNA from 1 species